GGACCUAAGGAGGAUUCCAAGAAUUCCAGUACAGUCGGAUCACUGUCACCUGUGGUCUGCGAGACGCGGACUUGUGUGAACAUUCACUGAGUCUGCUCCACCCAUGGACCCGUUAGUAACCUGUUGGGAAGUCUCUCCUGAAGUUUUUACAAAGACUUCGAUUCUCUUUUAUCUUCAUGAAGAAAGCAAAAAGCGAACAACAUCCUGUGGAAUGAAUGAAAGAACUGACCGGAUCUUCCCAUGUCCCUUGGCAGCACCUGGUUUGAGCCAUGGACGUGUGCACUCAGAACGGAUGACUUUCACUGCACCGUCAAGCAGUACAUCUGCCAGGUUGAAUUUCCCUUCAAUGAGUCAAGAGCUGAGCUCGACAGAGAUAGAAUUUAAAUACAGAUCAGACCUGCGCGUGCUCUGGCCUUGCGGUUUUGCAGAUGGAUGAAAUGAGCUAGUCAAGUGGCUGCCAGCAGACCUCUGCCGAGGACCAAGAGAAAAGUAACCAAGAGCCACACAUGGUCCCUGCUGCGAGGUGGCACCAUUCCUCAGUCUUCACGCUGAGCUUUGCCCACACAACAUCACGGCACACAGUGGAUCAGCACUGCGAGAAGACUGUGCACAGUCUCAGCGAGGACGCAGCUUUCAAAGGAACCCCAAGUACGAAGCAUGGUGCACGGCACCCUUUCUACCAGAACAUCAGCAGUGCUGACACAUUUUGCUUCACCACUGUGCUGUCAGGCCUGAUGUGCGCAAGAGCACACACGCCCUGCCAUCCUUUUUGUCAGUGAACUACGCUCUUCUGCCUGCAGAGUCUGCAUGUGCUUCUGUCUCAUGUUCCUGUCCCACACUUCCCUACUGCGCCGCUUUUUAAACUCUGCUGUAGAUGUAAACGUUGUUUGCUGUACUUAGUUUGGGGAAGAGAGAAGAUUGAAACUUCUCCUUUAAAUAAAUUCUUAAAUUAUCCUUUGACUCUUGGGAAGUUAAAAGCAAACACACAGGAUAAUUAUGCUACAAAGGUACCGAGAUAUUAUUCACCUCAUACACCAAAGCAC
rnacentral:lncRNA from 1 species